UACGGAGGGGGCUAGCGUUGUUCGGAAUUACUGGGCGUAAAGCGCACGUAGGCGGAUUGGAAAGUUGGGGGUGAAAUCCCAGGGCUCAACCCUGGAACUGCCUCCAAAACUUCCAGUCUUGAGUUCGAGAGAGGUGAGUGGAAUUCCGAGUGUAGAGGUGAAAUUCGUAGAUAUUCGGAGGAACACCAGUGGCGAAGGCGGCUCACUGGCUCGAUACUGACGCUGAGGUGCGAAAGCGUGGGGAGCAAACAGG
rnacentral:rRNA from 1 species